rnacentral:lncRNA from 1 species
GAUGAAGGAAACGGGACUUGUUGCUCAACGUAACUGUUAGUUGGCACCUGCCAUUUUUUAGCGCUGCCCAAAACAACGUAUAGGAAAGCCAGGAUCCGCGAACGUUUCUUGAUUUAGAGACCGAGAACAAGAGCGAAGCUUGUGCUACGUGCGUCACCCCAGGAACCGCCAGAGAUGCUCGUCRCCCUCUUAUGCGCCUGUCUCGCAAGCGCCGCCCUCUCGACGCCCGUGCUGCUGCCGCUCUCCGGGAAAGCCGGCGAGAACUGCGGGGGCCAGCACCGGGUAAAUCUGCCCGUCCCGCGGCCAAAGCCCCCUUCGUCUGCGCGGGGUGGGGAGUGCCAGCACGCGCCGACGCACGCAACCGUCUCCAACCUUACAGCUUCUCUGUGCCGACCAUGGGGCUCGGUCCCGGCCGGGGCUGGGCUUCCUCUCCCUCUCUUUGCACCGCCGGCUCUGGGUUGCCCAUCGGCAGCCCCGGCUGGUGCGGUCGGGCUCCUAAAUGCAGGCAGCCAAUCUCGCCUGCAAGCUCUCGUUCCCGAAACAAAAACGUUCCUCGUGCCCCCAGAGGAGGCUCUAAAAGCCGUAGCUAUUAUGGAUUUUUUUGAAGCUGUAUCGGUCUCAAAUGCGUCCGUAACAGAAUGCAGAGGAACAUUUCUGAGUGAACGUUUUAUUGUUUUCUGUUGCAAAUGAGCUGUUUCCCUUCUGACACGCGAGCUGCUUCGGAUCCCRGCCGUCGUGUGUCAUGAGACCGCCUCUUCCAGGCACGAGCUGCCUGACGGAGAAGCCGUGAAUUCUGAGAGAGAGCAAAAGCGGAGAGCUGGGCAAGGGGCGACGCCGCAUCCAAGAGCCGGGAGGCCCGAUAAGCGCGGUGCUGCUGAGGGCCCUGGCAGCGGUAUCGGUCACAGGGCGACGGCCGCUAAACCCGCCCCAGUGCUCCCAGGUCUAACCAGUGCCCAGGUCYGGGCUGACCUGGGGGAGGACACUGAGCCGGACCCGCCCAGAAAAGAAAGCUCCCGCCGUUGCUUUUGGGAAAAUUUCAAUAUCUUGUUUUCUUUUUCUUUUUUUUCCCCUCUAGAUACUGCUGAAAGGCUGCAAUGUCAAGCACGGGUUUUACGUCUUUAAAUACGUGUACUCAUUUUCGGCGCGGCGAAACCAGACCCAGGUGAAGGUGAGAGGCUGUCGUGAGUCGGGGCGCUGUAACCGUGCGGGAAAGCACGCCUCCGGCCCCCUUUAACCCUCUCGCCCUCGUGCCGCGCAGAAGGAAGAGGCCGUCGCUCAGACCAACGUCUCGCGUCCCCAGCCCAGCGAGGGGGAGGCGCUGAGGGGGCUGGCGGAGGGCGGCGCGGCCGGCGGGAGAGGGGACGACGGCAGCUCCCCGCCGGAGCACGCCGGGCCGGAGAACGGCAGCGCCGAGGAGGGCGGGCGGCCGCCCAGCACCGCGGGCAG